rnacentral:rRNA from 1 species
UACGUAGGGGGCGAGCGUUGUCCGGAUUUAUUGGGCGUAAAGAGCUCGUAGGCGGUUUGGUAAGUCGGGUGUGAAAUCUCCACGCUCAACGUGGAGGGGCCACUCGAUACUGCCAUGACUCGAGUCCGGUAGAGGAGUGUGGAAUUCCCGGUGUAGCGGUGAAAUGCGCAGAUAUCUGGAGGAACACCGGUGGCGAAGGCGGCAUCCUGGACCGGUAUCGACACUGAGGCGCGAAAGCCAGGGGAGCAAACGGG